GACGAACGCUGGCGGCGUGCUUAACACAUGCAAGUCGAACGGAAAGGCCCUGCUUUUGUGGGGUGCUCGAUUGGCGAACGGGUGAGUAACACGUGAGUAACCUGCCCUUGACUUUGGGAUAACUUUUGGAAACUGGGGCUAAUACCGGAUAGGAGCUCCUGCUGCAUGGUGGGGGUUGGAAAGUUUCGGCGGUUGGGGAUGGACUCGAUGCUUAUCAGCUUGUUGGUGGGGUAGUUGCUUACCAAGGCUUUGACGGGUAGCCGGCCUGAGAGGGUGACCGGCGACAAGGCGCCUAAGGGACGGCGCAGAAUGCAAUGUGACGCAGCGGUCGAGAGUAUGACGCAGUAGGGGGGAGCGAGAUACGAAGGCGCCGCGUGCGGGAUGACCGCCUACGAGUUAUAAACCAAUUUGGACUGUGACGAAGCGUGCGUGACGGUAAUGGGUAAGGAAGCACCGGCUAACUACGUG
rnacentral:rRNA from 1 species